ensembl:snRNA U6 U6 spliceosomal RNA
GUGCUCACUUCAGAAACACAUAUACUGAAACUGGAACAAUAGAAGUAAGAUCAGUAUGGCCCCUUGUGCAAGGAUGAUGCCAAAAUUCAUGAAGUGUUCUGUAUUUUU